rnacentral:rRNA from 1 species
CUACACAUGACAGUCGAACGAGAAGGGUAGCAAUACCUGAGUAAAGUGGCGCACGGGUGAGUAACACGUGACUAACCUACCUUUUAGUGGGGGAUAACCUAGGGAAACCUGGGCUAAUACCGCAUAAUACCUAUGGGUCAAAGCAGCAAUGCGCUGAAAGAGGGGGUCGCGGUCGAUUAGUUAGUUGGCAGGGUAAUGGCCUACCAAGACUGUGAUCGAUAUCCGGCCUGAGAGGGCGCACGGACACACUGGAACUGAAACACGGUCCAGACUCCUACGGGAGGCAGCAGUGGGGAAUUUUGCGCAAUGGGGGAAACCCUGACGCAGCAACGCCGCGUGGAGGAUGAAGUCCCUUGGGACGUAAACUCCUUUCGAUCGGGACGAUAAUGACGGUACCGGAAGAAGAAGCCCCGGCUAACUUCGUGCCAGCAGCCGCGGUAAUACGAGGGGGGCAAGCGUUGUUCGGAAUUAUUGGGCGUAAAGGGUGCGUAGGUGGUUCGGCAAGUCUUGUGUGAAAUCUUCAGGCUCAACUUGAAGUCUGCACAAGAAACUGCCGGGCUUGAGUAUGGGAGAGGUGAGUGGAAUUUCCGGUGUAGCGGUGAAAUGCGUAGAUAUCGGAAGGAACACCUGUGGCGAAAGCGGCUCACUGGACCAUUACUGACACUGAGGCACGAAAGCUAGGGGAGCAAACAGGAUUAGAUACCCUGGUAGUCCUAGCCCUAAACGAUGAUCGCUUGGUGUGGCGGUAUCACCCUGCGUGCCGUACUACGCGUAAGCGAUCGCUGGGGGAGUACGUCGCAGCUGAACUCAAGGAUUGACGG